UACGGAGGGUGCAAGCGUUUGUCCGGAAUCACUGGGCGUAAAGGGCGCGUAGGCGGCUCAUGAAGGCUGUGGUGAAAGUCCGGGGCUCAACCUCGGAUCGGCCGUGGCGACUCGUGGGCUGGAGCACUGUAGAGGCAGGUGGAAUUCCGGGUGUAGCGGUGGAAUGCGUAGAGAUCCGGAAGAACACCGGUGGCGAAGGCGGUGAGCUGGGGCAGUUGCUGACACUGGAGGCGCGACAGCGUGGGGGAGCGAACAGG
rnacentral:rRNA from 1 species